rnacentral:rRNA from 1 species
UACGGAGGGUGCAAGCGUUAUCCGGAUUUACUGGGCUUAAAGGGUGCGUAGGCGGCUAUGCAAGUCCGUGGUGAAAUCUCUGGGCUUAACCCGGAAACUGCCAUGGAUACUAUGUGUCUUGAAUGUUGUUGAGGUGAGCGGAAUAUGUCAUGUAGCGGUGAAAUGCUUAGAUAUGACAUAGAACACCAAUGGCGAAGGCAGCUCACUAAGCAAAUACUGACGCUGAGGCACGAAAGCGUGGGGAUCAAACAGG